rnacentral:sRNA from 1 species
UUUUCAAUUCUCUUGACACCAAAUAUUUAUUCCAUUUACCAUGUUGACAAAUUCUAUUGCAAACUUAUUUUUAAUACUUCUAUGAUGUAAUAUCAGUCUUGUGUUUCACACUGGCUAUUCAUUUUACAACUGGAUGCUUUAUUGAUCUAGAAAGGUUUCCGAAUUAAAAGGGCUCUACAAUAUUUUCCAUAUAAAACAUUUUUGAAUUUCAUUGUUACUGCCUCCAAUAAUUAUGUACUAAUUAAGAAUCAGUUUAACAGCAGGUCAAAUUGGUUUUGCUCAACAAGAGUGAUAAUUAACAAAAAUAUCUCACAAAAUGCACUGUAUAAUAUGUUAUAAUUCUUAAUUUUUGUCGGAUCAUGUUCAUAAUGUUACGGUAUUCACCCAAUAGUAAAUUUUUUACUCUUUAUUCUGUGUAUUUCUCUAUAAUUUUUUGUGGUAUACACAACUUUGUAAUCCAUUAAUUUGUUCUUGUCUUUAUUUUUUACGAAGUUUCCACUGCCUCCAAAUUAGUAAUGAAAACCAUUUUGUUUAUCCCUUAAUGUGGGUCAUUUGUAUUUCAAAAGCAUUUAUUAUUUUGCCUGAGUUGAAGCAUGUACAUGUACUGUGUUAUACCAAAAUGCAGUUUAAAAAUAAAGCUAAAAUCACUAAAU